rnacentral:lncRNA from 1 species
CGGCGCACAGUGAAUCGAGUCAAGUAGACGGGUCGGGCAUGGCAUUUUUUCCUAAAACUGCAAAUUUUUAUGUUUAUGUCGCCACAUUUUAAACUUUAAAAGGUGCUCCUAGAAUAAAAUUUUACGAGAAAACCAGUGAAACUACUUUUAAAACAUCAAAGUUUUAUAGCAACGGAGUUAUAAGCGUUUAAAGUUUCCAAAUUUUGUCCGACCUUCCUUGUUGACUCGAUCCACUGUGCGACGUGGUAAAUCAUCGUUUGUUUCGAUCCUGGGAAGAGCCAAAUCCCAUCGUCAAUUCCAUCUGAUGCCAGUCGUCUGCACUUCAUCUUUCUCCUUGAUUCUUUCCCCGAACGGAACUGUUGCCAUCAUGGUUACGAUACAAAGUUUGAAAAGUUAACUUUAAGGCGCCCGUCCCACGCACAAACUGAGGGCUUCCACGGGCUCGACUAACGACGACUCCCGUACAUCUUUGAAAAAGUGUGAAAAGCUAAAGUGCCUUCAAUAGGCCAGUCUACACCCGGAGGAAUUGAGCUUAAAAGUAUUGAUUUAGGGGUAAAACUAGACGAGAAACUCAUUGGAAUACUCGGUUUUGUCCGAAAGAAACUCCUUUUUGGUGAAAAACAGCAUUAAAGUUGGCGAAUUUUCGAGUUUCGCGCCCGCGGUUGUGACGUCAUAAUGUAGAAAUUCGCGCGCGCCCUCCCUGGUUGUUUCCUGUACCCGCGGCCGGUUGUCUGCGGUCGCGAUCAACGUAAACAAACACAACAGGUAGUUAUUUUGAGUGUUGACUCGAAUUGUUUGGCCCGUGUUUUAAUGCGUGUGUGAUUGUUUUUUCAAUGUCGAAAACGUUGUAUAAUUACUGUUUUGUCCCGGGUUGCCGAAAUAAUUCUAUUUCGGCGCCUGGGAAGGUGUUUCUUAGUGUCCCUAGUGGCCCUUUAAGGGACAAGUGGCUGGAUGCAGCAUGCGUCAAAAGAAGUAUUCUUCAAAAUCUACCUUGAAGUGCUGCGAGGAUCAUUUUGAGGUCGAAAAAGAUGUUGAAGGAUGGCUGCAGUUUCGGCUGAUGAAGGAUUUAGGGCGAAGCUCAUUUAAGCUAAAGGUGAAGGCUGGAGUGGUGCCACAUAUUUUUAAUAUUCAGCAAGAGGCAAAUGUGCUGAAAAGGGCCGCUGAAGAUCCCUCAGAGGCUGCUCCUAGUAAAAAGUCCCAUGGUGCAAGUGGAAGCAGAGAACCUCAUUUCAUAGAUGUUUUACCCUUUGCUGAAGAUGAUUCUGAGCAGGGUCCCUCAGGUGCACAAAAGGAUGAACCGUCAACAAAGGAUUUUGGUGUCCAAGUAGAGAAAUUGACUGAAGAUUUUGGUGUCCAAGUAAACAUCAAACCAAAGUUACAGAUUCGGCAUGUCGAGUCAAUGAAUUUCGGGUUCCGAUUGCCACAAAUUCCUGAGGAGCUAAAGCCAGCAUCAUCAUCAUCUUCAAAAGGGAAACACCGCCAAAGGAAGAAAAAUAUUGACCCAAUCUACUCUAUUCUCAAAAUUCCUCACAGUCAUCUUCUCUCACAGUCAAGAACUCUCAAGGCAAUGAGGCCUCACAAGAGUCAGUCAGUGAGUAUGAGAAGGCGCAUGAGAUGCAGCAGUCUCAAGACUUAA